rnacentral:misc_RNA from 1 species
AAGUCGUAACAAGGUUUCCGUAGGUGAACCUGCGGAAGGAUCAUUAACACGUAUUUACUUACGUAUUAACCAAACGUGAACAUGUUAUUCUGCCCUAGUGAUGGACUCGAGUGGAUUGUGAGGGAAUGGUGUGAAUCGCAAGGUUCUGCCUCAUGAUUCUGUUAUACCGCAUGCGCAAGUGUGUGAGUGUGAAGCUCGACCUGUCAUUAGUAGAUUAAUUCCGACUGCUUAUUAAGCCUGCACCUUGGCUUGCAGUUGGAGUGCCCUAAUUAUUAACCCCAUCUAUUUUAAUUACUGAUUUGUAUGUUCAUAUUGAUUCCUUUGGAUUUCGGUCUGAGGUUGAGUCAGUGUGAAUGUCGUAUAUUACUAAUACGAAACAACUCUUAGCAACGGAUAUCUUGGUUCUC